GCUGAUAUGGCUCAGUUGGUAGAGCGCACCAUGGGUAAUGGUGAGGUCCCCAGUUCGACUCUGGGUAUCAGCA
rnacentral:tRNA from 1 species